UACGUAGGGGGCAAGCGUUGUCCGGAAUCACUGGGCGUAAAGCGCACGUAGGCGGAUUGCUAAGUCAGGGGUGAAAUCCUGGAGCUCAACUCCAGAACUGCCCUUGAUACUGGCGGUCUCGAGUCCGGGAGAGGUGAGUGGAACUGCGAGUGUAGAGGUGAAAUUCGUAGAUAUUCGCAAGAACACCAGUGGCGAAGGCGGCUCACUGGCCCGGUACUGACGCUGAGGUGCGAAAGCGUGGGGAGCAAACAGG
rnacentral:rRNA from 1 species